CUACGGGUCGCAGCAGUCGGGAAUAUUGCGCAAUGGAGGAAACUCUGACGCAGUGACGCCGCGUAUAGGAAGAAGGUUUUCGGAUUGUAAACUAUUGUCGUUAGGGAAGAUAAAAGACAGUACCUAAGGAGGAAGCUCCGGCUAACUACGUGCCAGCAGCCGCGGUAAUACGUAGGGAGCAAGCGUUAUCCGGAUUUAUUGGGUGUAAAGGGUGCGUAGACGGGAAGACAAGUUAGUUGUGAAAUCCCUCGGCUUAACUGAGGAACUGCAACUAAAACUAUUUUUCUUGAGUGUUGGAGAGGAAAGUGGAAUUCCUAGUGUAGCGGUGAAAUGCGUAGAUAUUAGGAGGAACACCGGUGGCGAAGGCGACUUUCUGGACAAUAACUGACGUUGAGGCACGAAAGUGUGGGGAGCAAACAGGAUUAGAUACCCCCGUAGUC
rnacentral:rRNA from 1 species